UACGGAGGGUGCAAGCGUUAAUCGGAAUUACUGGGCGUAAAGCGUGCGCAGGCGGUUUGUAAGUCUGUCGUGAAAUCCCCGGGCUCAACCUGGGAAUUGCGAUGGAGACUGCAAGGCUAGAAUCUGGCAGAGGGGGUAGAAUUCCACGUGUGAGCAGUGAAAUGCGUAGAGAUGUGGAGGAACACCGAUGGCGAAGGCAGCCCCUGGGUCAAGAUUGACGCUCCAUGCACGAAAGCGUGGGGAGCAAACAGG
rnacentral:rRNA from 1 species